GAUCAUGGCUCAGGAUGAACGCUAGCUACAGGCUUAACACAUGCAAGUCGAGGGGCAGCAUUUUUUAUAGCAAUAUAAAAGAUGGCGACCGGCGCACGGGUGAGUAACACGUAUCCAACCUGCCGAUAACUCGGGGAUAACCCUUCGAAAGAAGGCCUAAUACCCGAUGGCAUAUCCCUUCCGCCUGGUUGGGAUAUUAAAGAACUUCGGUUAUCGAUGGGGAUGCGUUCCAUUAGCUUGUUGGCGGGGUAACGG
rnacentral:rRNA from 1 species